rnacentral:rRNA from 1 species
CCCUUAGAUGUUCUGAACCGCACGCGUGUUACAAUGAUGUGUUCAACGAGCAUAUAACCUUGGCCGAGAGGCCUGGGCAAUCUUGUUAACGUGCAUCGUGAUAGGGAUAGAUUAUUGAAAUUAUUAAUCUUGAACGAGGAAUUCCUAGUAAACGCAGAUCAUCAAUCUGCAUUGAUUACGUCCCUGCCCUUUGUACACACCGCCCGUCGCACCUACCGAUUGGAUGGUCCGGUGAAGCCUCGGGAUUGUGGUUCUUGCCGCUUUAUUGUGGCGUGACCGCGAGAACUUGUCUAAACCUUAUCAUCUAGAGGAAGGUGAAGUCGUAACA